UCAAUGAUGUAUGUGAAGAUGACUUCUUCAGGUAUCCUUAUGACUCUUCCCUUAAAAACAAGUAUCAUUCAGUUAGUUCUGGACUCUUUCACUACAUGUAUCUGUUCUCAUCAUGAAUGUCUUGGGUAAUAACACCAAGAAUCCUCCAGCCUCACUGAACAGAGACUCCACCUAAUGCCCGUAAACCCUGACUCUGACCUGUAGCCUUUGAUAACAUCAACAUCAUCAUCAUCAUCAACAACAACAACAAGAACAAUCAAACCAAAGAUUAUUGUAUGCAUGUUCAGUUCUAUGUGUAUCUAUGUCAGAAGUUUAAUUUGUAUCUAUGGCUUCUAAUAAGCAUACUCUUUAUUUUAGAGGUUCUAAGAUGCUGUUAUAUGAGUGUACCUGUAA